CUUUUUGUCUUGAUAACUUAAUGGUUAAAGUAUAACACUGAAGUUGUUAAUAAAGUGGGUUCAAUUCCUCUUCAAGACA
rnacentral:tRNA from 1 species